rnacentral:rRNA from 1 species
UACGUAGGGUGCAAGCGUUGUCCGGAAUCAUUGGGCGUAAAGCGCGCGUAGGUGGUCAUGUAAGUCCGCUGUGAAAGUCAAAGGCUCAACCUUUGAAAGCCGGUGGAUACUGCAUGACUAGAGUACGGAAGAGGCGAGUGGAAUUCCUGGUGUAGCGGUGGAAUGCGCAGAUAUCAGGAGGAAACACCAAUAGCGAAGGCAGCUCGCUGGGACGUUACUGACACUGAGGCGCGAAAGCGUGGGGAGCGAACAGG